rnacentral:misc_RNA from 1 species
GAAAUGCGAUAAGUAAUGUGAAUUGCAGAAUUCAGUGAAUCAUCGAAUCUUUGAACGCACCUUGCGCUCCUUGGUAUUCCUUGGAGCAUGCCUGUUUGAGUAUCAUGAAAUCUUCAAAGUAAAUCUUUUGUUAACUCAAUUGGUUUCUACUUUGGUAUUGGAGGUCUUUGCAGCUUCACACCUGCUCCUCUUUGUUCAUUAGCUGGAUCUCAGUGUUAUGCUUGGUUCCACUCGGCGUGAUAAGUUAUCUAUCGCUGAGGACACUGUAAAAGGUGGCCAAGGUAAAUGCAGAUGAACCGCUUCUAAUAGUCCAUUGGCUUGGACAAUACUUUUAUGAUCUGAUCUCAAAUCAGGUAGGACUACCAGCUGAACUUAAGC